rnacentral:rRNA from 1 species
CGCCUGUUUAUCAAAAACAUGUCUUUUAGGUAAUUAUUUAAGGUCUAGCCUGCUCCAUGAUGAAUUAAAUAGCCGCAGUAUUUUGACUGUGCAAAGGUAGCAUAAUCAUUAGUUUUUUAAUUGAAAACUGGAAUGAAUGGCUGGAUGAGAAAGCUACUGUCUCUUUUUAAUUUUAUUUGAAUUUUAUUUUUAAGUCAAAAAGCUUAAAUUUAAUAAAAAGACGAGAAGACCCUUUAGAGUUUUACAGAUUAAUAAUUUAAUAUUAAAUGGAUUUUAUAGUGAUUAUUUUUUAAUUUGUUUGGUUGGGGUGACGUAGAAUUGAAUUGAACUUCUUUAAAUUUAAACACUGGUUAGCGAAUAUAUGAUCCUGACAGUUUGGAUUAAAAGAAUAAAUUACCUUAGGGAUAACAGCGUAAUUCUUUUGAAGAGUUCUUAUCGAUAAAAGAGAUUGCGACCUCGAUGUUGGAUUAAAGUUAAAUUUCGGUGCAGAAGCUGAAAUUUUAAGUCUGUUCGACUUUUUAAAAUUUUACGUGAUCUGAGUUCAGACCCG